AGCUUUGAGCAGUGGCAGUAUCGUAGCCAAUGAGGUUUAUCCGAGGCGCGAUUAUUGCUAAUUGAAAAUAAUGAUGCCAGAAGACAAUGCCAUUUUACUAGAGUAACCUAUGGAAAUUUUUGAACCAAAUAAUGCCAACAUU